rnacentral:lncRNA from 1 species
GCCUUCUACCCUCCCUCCUGCAUACUGACUUCAUCUUGUAACAGGCUUUGUGAUAAAAACCUGGGAGAAUAUUGGUUCUGGAAUUCCUUGUGGACAAAUCUGGGGAGACCAUUGGUCCUGGCUCCACUCCUGGAAGGGUCUUUCAGAUUUUCAGAAGAAAACUCCUGUCAGACAAACGAAUCUUUCCUCUCUGCAGUCUCUGGACUGGGCCUUUUCCAAGAGGACACAGAAGAGGAGAGAAUGGCAGCUGUGACCCUAGCAGCCAGAUGGCAGAAGGCUAGACUUAAGAGCCAGGACUCAACUGAAAAGCAGGAUGUUUCUAAAAAAGUAAAGUCAUUACUGAAAAUACAAGACAUGAAUGAAAAACCUCAGAAAAGAUGGUCCUCUGGGUCCUGUACUUGGCCCAGAAAACCCUGAGGGCACAAAGAAAGAAAAUGCUUCAGGGGAGACUUUGAAGAAAUCUUCCCCCAAGGAGAAGGACUCAGGCAGGGAUACACUCUUGCCAAACAAACUGACAGUAAGGAGAUACAGUUGGAAUGCAGCGUAUGUGGGAAGACCUUAUAUAACCAUUUACCCCUCGCUUGCCAUCAGAGGACUCACACUGGAGAGAAGCUCUAUGACUAUAAAGAAUGCGGGAAAGCCUUCAGCUAUAGGAGUAGUCUUAAGAAACAUUUGAUGUCUCACACUGGGAAGAGCACCUCUGAAGGCAGCGAAUGUCAGGAAACUUUCUAUGACCAAUUAACCCUUAUUGAACAUCAGCGAAGUCAUACCAGAGGGAAGCCUUUUGAAUGUAAUGAAUGUGACAAGGCUUUUUUUGUCCACUUGUGCUUUACUCCACAUCAGAGAAUUCAUACUGGAGAAAGACCUUGUGAGUGUACAGAAUGUGGGAAAUCCUUUAGCCAGAAAAGCAAUCUCAGUCACCACAUGCUCA